rnacentral:rRNA from 1 species
CGGGUGCACUGAUCCGGCCGGGCCUUUCCCUCUGUGGAACCCCAUGGCCUUCACUGGCUGUGCGGGGGAAACAGGACUUUUACUGUGAAAAAAUUAGAGUGCUCCAGGCAGGCCUAUGCUCGAAUACAUUAGCAUGGAAUAAUAGAAUAGGACGCGUGGUUCUAUUUUGUUGGUUUCUAGGACCGCCGUAAUGAUUAAUAGGGACAGUCGGGGGCAUCAGUAUUCAAUUGUCAGAGGUGAAAUUCUUGGAUCUAUUGAAGACUAACUACUGCGAAAGCAUUUGCCAAGGAUGUUUUCAUUGAUAAGGAACGAAAGUUAGGGGAUCGAAGACGAUCAGAUACCGUCGUAGUCUUAACUAUAAACUAUGCCGACUAGGGAUCGGACGAUGUUAUUUCUUGACGCGUUCGGCACCUUUCGAGAAAUCAAAGUGCUUGGGCUCCAGGGGGAGUAUGGUCGCAAGGCUGAAACUUAAAGAAAUUGACGGAAGGGCACCACCAGGGGUGGAACCUGCGGCUUAAUUUGACUCAACACGGGGAAACUCACCAGGUCCAGACACAGUGAGGAUCGACAGAUUGAGAGCUCUUUCUUGAUUCUGUGGGUGGUGGUGCAUGGCCGUUCUUAGUUGGUGGAGUGAUUUGUCUGCUUAAUUGCGAUAACGAACGAGACCUUAACCUGCUAAAUAGCCCGUACUGCUCUGGCAGUUCGCCGGCUUCUUAGAGGGACUAUCGG